CGGGUUCCCCAGCCAGACUCCACGUCUGGACUGAUAGGCCUGAGAGCAGCCUCCACAGAGUGGGCUCUGGCCCUCCACCCUCCCUGCUUCUCAGGCUGCCUGUCUUCUCCAUGAGACCCCCAACCUGUCCUUCAGUAGGUCCCUGCAGGCUCCCUCCUGGGGUACCACAUGUCUCUUUGGGCACCUCCUCUCUCUGAAGCCAAAGGCGCUCUGGCGUGGCUGAGGUCCUGAUUUCUGGACAUGCAAGCACGACUUCAGGAUGGAUGAGGGCCUGAGGCCGCCAUGCUGGCCCUGGGUGAGGAACACUCUAGUGUGGCCCCUCAUAGUCCCUUACAGCCUCUGAAGCCUGAUGGCCUCCGCCCCUCACAGGUGUGGCACACUGGAUCCAGGCCUGAGUGAAAGGUGCCAGGGGCCCUGAAGGACAGAAAGCGAGUGCCACUUGGCUUCCUUCUUCCAGAGCUCCUCAACAGUUACUGCUCCAGGGGAGCUUGGAGUGGAGCCUCUGAUCUCAGACUCCCACAGCUGUCCAGAGCAGGUAAGGUGAAUGAGCUCUUUCAGGAGGCCAGCCCUGGACCGGCCCCUCCACCAGCAACUCUGUUCCUUGACCCAUGGGUGCUGCGGGGUGAGGAGGGGAGGGGAGCCCUGCCCUUACUCCAACUAGAACUGCUCCUUUGCAGGCACCGCUCUGUGAGGGGCUCUCCAAACCUUGCUGCAGCCUGGGGCUGAUGCACGGGGACGUGCGCUUCCCCAACUGUGAAUUGGGACUUGGCUCUGGCUCUUGGCUGACCAGAGAUGAAGGCCAGCCAAGUGCUGGGUGUCCCUCUUGGCCAGUGGGUGUGGCUGCUGGUGACCUUGGAUGGGUUUCCCUGGCCCCAGUUCCAGGUUCCCCAUUUGUACAAUAAGAGGUGAUGACCCCAAGGACCAGGCCCCACCCAAGGAGGGGGCGUGAGUUGUCCCCACUCCCUCCUUGCCCAGGCCAGCCAAGGGAGGGGAGGACGUGGAGCAGACCUGCUGGCCCCCUGCCGGGAGCCCCAUUCUCUUCUCGAAGGGACAGUCAGCCUGGAUCAGAGGGUGGGUCCCCCUGAGGGCAGCCCUGGACACUGGACUGAGAUCAGCAUUGGAAAGUGUGUCCAGGAGGAAAGAGCUCAACAGUCACAGGGACUUCCAGGAACAGGAGAGGGAGGUGUUGGGAGCGCAGGUUCUCUGAGGUACCAGCUGCAGAGGUAGGCUUUCAGCCAGGCACCCCCACCUACCACACCACCCUCCAUCCUCAGGGACUCACCCCACGUGUCCUCCCACACCCUGUUGGUGUGUAAAUGUCCCCUUGUAUAAGAUGCUGGCGGUGUUGAAUCAGGGCUCACCCUACUCCAGUAUGACCUAGUCUUAACUAAUGACACCUCCAACAACCCUAUUCCAAAUGAGCUCACAUUCUGAGACCCUGGAGCUAGGACCCCAGCCCACGAAUUCAGGGACACAACUCGCACUGGUGUGGGGAAGGGAGAGAACAGCUUUUGCUGGCUUUUGCUCCCAGGGCGCUCAGUCCUCAGGACUGAGGCUGGGCAGAGAAGAGUCCUGGUCUAGAUUCCCUGGGUCUAGUAGCAAAACCUCCAGACCAAUAAUGUGGGGAGCAUUCCCAGGGCUGCAGGACUGGGGGACAGAGGACAGGGGGACAGCAGGGAAGCAAAGAGCAGCUGAGCAGCUGAGCUGCAGAAAACAGUCAAUUACCAGUCACACAGGAAUCCUGCCCUCUCCUGCCCAGGGCAGCUAACCCCACAAACCCCCAGGUGGGUCAUGCAGCCACUCAGAGCAAGCCCUGGGGAGGCUGGGCCAGAGGAGAAAAUGGAGGACCACCCUCCCUGGGAGGGGCCCAGGUCAGCCAGGGCUCCCCACCAAAAGAAGGUCAGAGAAAAGGGACUUUAGCAAACAGGAAGAGGCUGCCCUAAGACCCCCGGCUCCCACCUGGAUCCUUGAAGCUCCCUGGUCUCCUUUUGACCCCAGAAUUUGUGACUCCUUUCCAGGAACUAAAUGAAGCCCCCUCAGACGCCUCCAGAUCUCGGGGAGCUGGGGGUGGACACCAGCUCCCGGAGGCAGUGGUAGGUCCCUCCUCACUUGCUGGACUCAGAAUUGCUUUCCCCCCAUCCCCACCUCGCAGCAGCCUGGCGCUGCCUCGAUUCCCUCUCCUGCUUCACCUCACGCACUUCCCUGUGUGUGUACAGGCCAAAGCCAGUGUCUAGGGUGUCCAGAUGCUGGGCUACCUUUUGGGGCCCCCAUGAGCUUAUGGCACUUUGCAGACCAGGUGAGCAUUUGUGAAUUCCAUCUCAGAGCUACGCAGAGAGGUUCUACGACACAUGAGUUCACUGAGACAGGUAAAGGGGUCCAUCCAUAUGGGAUCCUACUGGAAACAUGUCCAGAGACUCCCUGCCCAGACCCUGACUCCCUCCCACAUGCUCCUCCCACAGAGCACAGCUAUGAAUCCAGGCAGCAAUGCCAGCAACCGGGGCAGAGUUCCAAGAGGUGGAGGAGCAGUGGGAAUCCAGGGCCAGGAGAGACAGGCACGUGGCACACCCAGCAGAGAAGGGCCCUGGUCGGCAUUUCCUGACCCCCUGCCCAGCAAGAGAAGACAGCCCCGAGGAACACAUUCCUCCCGGCUGAAGCAGGAGUCCUGCCAGUCACACCUGCAAGCCUGGGGCGGGGGCUUCUCACAGCAACUCCUGCCCUGGAAAGCCCUUUUGUGCCAUGGAUCUGAGACCCUCCCCUAGAGAUAUGGGUGGCACCAAGGUGUGGGGGGUGCCCCAACAAAGGUGGGCCCACAGAAAGAGCCCACAGGCAGACGCUCUCUCCAAGGGCCACCAUGUGACCUGGAAAGCCCCUGACCCCUGAGGAGACGCUAGGGGAACUCCCAGCUCCAGAUCAGCCAGACACAAGACAGAGAGGCCCCAGAGUACAUGCCACUAAAAGCACAGCCCCCUCCCCACAGGUCAGGCCCUGCGUGUGACCUGUGGGUGUCUGCACAUUAAAAUGGGAUGCUCCAGUAGGACUCCGCAUUCUAAGAUUGGAGCCCAACUGUCCCGGACAUGAUUGAAAAAAUGCUCAUUGUACCAUCAACCAGGGACACCACCAAGAGCCUGUCUGCCAACUCCUUCCCACCCUCCAGCUGCCACUGGACUGCCAUCUGUGCAGAGGUCCUCAGCCACCUGUUAAGCUGCUCUCCGGUCUCCAGGUUCACCGGCAUCUUGGCAGGCAUAGCACAGCCCAUGCGGGCUCCUGCUCCUCCAUCUGCUGGUGACGCUCCAUGGCUUGUGGGUUCCAGGAGAGUCAGGACAAGUCUUCUCAGUCACACCAUAACAGUAUUGAAGGACUGCACUUGAAAAAUGCAGGGUAUCCACAAAUAUGUGUCAGAAGCACAAUGGAUAGUUGGAAGCAGGGGUGUGACAUGGCCUGAUUUGCAUGGUUUAAGAUCUCUUAGAGAAAAAGCAAAUCUAGGGAGACAGUGAAAGAUCAGUGGCUACCAGGAGAGGGAGGGCUGGUGCAGCAGAGUCUUGGGUGGAACAAUUUCCUACCAUAGCAUCGCAGGGAAGCAGAUCUAUCUGUAUGCCUUUGUCAGAACCCCUGGGUUGCAGUGCCGAGAGGGAGCCCCGAGCCACCUGCAGGGCUCAGUUAGUAACAAUGUAGCUGUACUGAUUCUUCAUUGUAACAGUGUGCCACACUGAGGCCAGAUGUCAUGGCAAAGGGAAGUGCUCAAGGGAGUAUAUGUGGGGAUUCUCUGUGCUUUCUGCUCAAUUUUUCUGUAAAUCUAAAACAGCUCUGAAAAAAAUAAAAC
rnacentral:lncRNA from 1 species